rnacentral:rRNA from 1 species
CACGUAGGGGGCGAGCGUUGUCCGGAUUUAUUGGGCGUAAAGAGCUCGUAGGCGGCUCAGUAAGUCGGGUGUGAAAACUCCAGGCUCAACCUGGAGACGCCACCUGAUACUGCUGUGGCUAGAGUCCGGUAGGGGAGCAUGGAAUUCCUGGUGUAGCGGUGAAAUGCGCAGAUAUCAGGAGGAACACCAGUGGCGAAGGCGGUGCUCUGGGCCGGUACUGACGCUGAGACGCGAAAGCGUGGGGAGCGAACAGG